rnacentral:rRNA from 1 species
AACGAACGCUGGCGGCAGGCCUAACACAUGCAAGUCGAACGCUGUAGCAAUACAGAGUGGCAGACGGGUGAGUAACGCGUGGGAACGUGCCUUUCGGUUCGGAAUAACUCAGGGAAACUUGAGCUAAUACCGGAUACGCCCUUCGGGGGAAAGAUUUAUUGCCGAAAGAUCGGCCCGCGUCCGAUUAGCUAGUUGGUGUGGUAAUGGCGCACCAAGGCGACGAUCGGUAGCGGGUCUGAGAGGAUGAUCAGCCACACUGGGACUGAGACACGGCCCAGACUCCUACGGGAGGCAGCAGUGGGGAAUAUUGGAGAAGGGGCGCAAGCCUGAUCCAGCCAUGCCGCGUGAGUGAUGAAGGCCCUAGGGUUGUAAAGCUCUUUCGCCAGGGACGAGAAUGACGGUACCUGGAUAAGAAGCCCCGGCUAACUUCGUGCCAGCCGCCGCCGUAA